rnacentral:lncRNA from 1 species
GGUGGUCGGAGUCGGAGUUUUCUUCUGCAGCCAGGAAAGCACCCACCUUCUUAUGCAUGUCCCUCGAUAUGAUGCGCAGAAAAAUGGAAUUUUUUAUCAAUAUAGUCGGGUACACCCCUUCCUUCAUCGCCUCCCAACCAACUAUCUUGCUAUAUGGUCUGCAGAAGAGGGUAAUUCCUCGGUUUCGUGUUUUGGAGAUGUUGAAUACGAAAGGCUUGUGGACUCGACGAGGCAAGUUUGUCAACUAUGUGCAAUUAUCAAAUACAAAAUUCCGGGAGAAGAUUGUUCUACCUUACAAAGAAAAGGUUCCUGAGCUUCUUGAUAUUUUGAGAGCAGGUGAGUGUGAAGGGAAAUGAGCCCUUUUAUUUGGGGAGGAUGAGAAGGGCUUAGCUGCUGGUCUAACUCACAUGUGAAUUUCUCAACAGGAGAUGAGCAGUGAUUCGGCACCUUUUUCCUUGACAACGAGCUGUCUUACAUCAACCACCAGCCUUGGCUACUAAAGUGCAGUCCAGUGAAAGAAUUAUUCCUUGGUGUCUUAUGGUAGUAAUGUUGUAAUUGGAAGGUAUAUGCAGUGCACAACACAGUGUGUUCCAUUUUUACUCGUUGAGGUUCAUGUAAAAGUCUGUUCUUUGUUGCAAAGAAGAAGUCCCUGGAUGCUUGUUCAUAGUUUAUGUUUUAUAUUUUAGUGUGUUAGUUUAUUUAAUCUGUUCCGAUGUCAGUAUGACAAGGUUUCAAAAUCAUUUGGUUAUUAUCUCAUUUCUCAAUGGGCAAAUCGAGACCCAUAAUCGGCCUAAAUUGAGCUUUCCCAUUGAGUAGGCUUGCUCAAUAUUUUCUUACCUUUGUUUGUAAGGCCCAAUUGAACCCAUUACGACCUGUAAGCAGCCCGUUUCUUGUGCGUACGCUCAACCCUAUAUCUUACUUUCUUUAAAUGUUUGUUAUAGAUUGCUCCUCAGGCAAUCAGGUAAGUGUGAUUUCUGUGAAUUCUUCAACAAGUCUGCUGAUUUUUCUUCUUUCUUCCAAUUGUAAGUUAUCUGUUUUCAUUACACAACUAUGUGUUAGCAUAAUCUAGAUUCUUCAUCAUGUCUGCUGCAACUAUGUGUAAGCAUAAUAUAGAUUGGAAGUUAAAUAUAUCUCGCAAUGAUUGUAAGAAUUCUUCAAUGUCAUGGAGAGUAUUCAAGCUGAAGCUUUUGCGGAAUCAUUUAACUAUUGAUUGUUAUUAGCAAUAAGUAAGAAGGACAUUGCAAUAGCAUUCUUAGCUUAAAUUUUGAUUUUCUAAUUACCUUACUUUUCACUAAAGCAUGAUUGUGCCCUGUGAUAUUUUUAAUCAAAAGCUAAUUGUUUCUCUCCCUUAGAUUGGUUGUUUUUGAGGUGUUACUGUUAUGUGUAGCAAUAUUAUGCAAUGGAAGGUAAACUUGUGCAUUUUAAUAUUGUCUCGCAUCUUUGCAAUGAUCAUAAGCAAUUUUCAAGUUUCUGGUGGUGAAUCCAACCUCAUGUUCUGUUGAUUCAUUUCACUCCUUUUCUGUGAAGAAUGCAGCAGAUACUGAGAACACCAAAAUAACAUUCUAUAGAUGAUGAUGUAAAAUGAUGAGAAUUUUGCCAAUUAUUUAAUUUGAUUUUUUAUGUUGCCUGCUACUUUCCCCACUGUUGUUUUAGAGUGGAGUUCGUAGCCUAUGUUCUUCCAAGCAUGUUUGCCUUGAGCUAAAUGUAGUACCUGUGGGAUUUACAAUUGAAAGGUAUGCAGUAUGAUGAAGGCAACAGAGGUGCUUAAUGGCUUACUGGGAAUGGAUGCUUAGAUGUUACAUAGAUGUACUUAUACAUUGGGUCUCAGUUGAUAUAGCAAAAGGUUUGUUGUGAGUGCAAUGCCUUUUGUGCCAUGGUGCAGUUGGGAGCUAAACACAAUGAUAAUAUCUAUAUUAAGAUAAUGUGGAUGAGGCAAAUGUGAAUUUUGUUGGUGGAUAUUACAUGGUAGCCUAAUCUUUCCUUUCUUGUUUGAGGAUCAAGAUCGGCAGAUAAUUAAAACUUUUGAAUGGAGGAAUCAUCAUAUCUCCGGUCCACUAAUUUUCAUUUUAUACGGAUCAUUUUCAUAUCGAGAUAAAAUAACAUAUUAAAAUAUUUUAAUUUAUCUUUUAAAUAUCAUUAAUAUCUAGUAAUAUCAAUUAGUCGAUCUAAUUGAAUUAGAUUUAAUUAUAACCUAAUUAAAUUGAUUUUUAAUUCUCAUUUAAUAGAUCUAAAUUAUCUUACACUAAUAUAAUUUAGAUUAAAUUAAGUUUAAUUUUAUAUUGAAUAUAUUUAAAUAAAUCAAAUUGGUUCAUAAUCACCUUCAAUCAAUUUAAAUUUAUCAAAUUAGAUUUGGCUCAAUAGAACAUAAAUGAAAUAAAAUAAAGGUAAUAAGUUAAACUAUUUAGUAAUAUGUUAGGUUAAGCUAGGCAAUGUAGCAUUACAAAUAAUUAUACAUGUACCAUACCAAAGUUACGUUAGCUCAUAGCAAGUUAUGUUAGCUCAUAUCCCAUGGACUAAUCAUGUGUAUGACACAUGACUGUUCAUGUUGGAUCGGAUUGAACGACUAGUUGGCUUAAUCUGUUGGUUGAGUCUAAUCUACGGGUGGUGGUUUAGCAUGUGGACAGAGCCUGAUUUGUUAAGCAAAUUUUAACCUAUUAUAUUUAUUUAAUUAAUUGAUAAAAAUAAUAUUACUUAACUUAAAAUAUUGAAUAUUUAUUUUUAUAAAUUUUAUUCAUAUGAAAAGAAAGUAAAUAAUUAUACUUCAACUGAAAGAUUUGAGUAAAGAUGAAACGGUUAAAUUAGUAUCUUAAGGUCAUUUUAUCCAUAUUUUUGAUAUAGAUAAUUUAUUCCUAUAAUUUUUGUAUUUCUUGUUGAUAGCGAAGGUUAUACACACUCGCUAUAAGGACGGUUGUAGUGAUUAGGGUGCCGCUGCGGCCGCCCUCCUUUGUCCCAUAAUGGCGGCUGCGAGGCUCCGCACCGGACUCCGCCGCAAUAGCCUUCUGCCCUUGUUCGAAACCUGCCACCUUCCAGAUCGCCUCUUCUUCUCCUCCUCUGUACACGCUGCCGCCGUCACCGUAGGCGGCACCAUGUCUCCAGAUCCCCACUUCAUGGUGGAAUACCUCGUCAACUCCUGUGGGUUCUCCCCCUCCGAGGCAGCCAAGUUCUCUAAACCCCUUGCGCGCCUCCGAUCCACCGAGAAUCCCGACGCCGUAGUUAACUUCAUGAGAUCUCAGGGCUUCGAUGGCGCCGGUAUCAGGAAGGUGAUAUCUCGGAAUCCCAGUCACCUAUGCGUGAACGUGGAGAAGAACUUGGCCCCGAAGUUUCAGUUCUUACGCGAUUUGGGCCUAUCGGAGUCGGAUAUCGCCGAUGCCAUCCUGAAGAACGAUUUCAUCCUGCGCCUCGACGUUCACCGUUCCUUGAUCCCCAAAUUGGAGAUGUGGGAAAGUCUCUUGGGAUCGAGAGAGCUCGUUCUCAAGCAUCUCAAGAAGACAAGAUGGUUUUUCUCCUCCAGCGUUGAGAAGACGUUGCAUCCUAACCUAAAGUUCUUGAGGGAUGAGUGCGGCAUUCCUGAAGAAAGGGUCUCUGUCGUCUUGAGAAGUCACCCACAAUUAAUCUCACGGAAGCCAGAGUCUCUCCGAGCUUUGGUGGCGAGAGCCGAUGAGCUGGGGAUGCCACGGCAAUCUCGGAUGUUCGUGCGGACACUUGAUGCUCUCUUCAUGGUAAGCAAAGAAAGGUUCGAGGCCAAGGUCGAGCUCAUGAGGAGCUUCGGGUGGUCGGAGUCGGAGUUUUCUUCUGUAGUCAGGAAAGUACCCACCUUCUUAUGCAUCUCCCUCGAUAUGAUGCGCAGAAAAAUGGAAUUUUUUAUCAAUGUAGUCGGGUACACCCCUUCCUUCAUCGCCUCCCAACCAACUAUCUUGCUAUAUAGUCUGCAGAAGAGGGUCAUUCCUCGGUUUCAUGUGACGGAGAUGUUGAAAUCGAAAGGAUUGUGGACUGGACAAUGCAAGUUUUUAUGGAUUCUCAUAAUGUCAGAUACCAAAUUCAUGGAGAAGUUUGUUCUCCCUCACAAAGAAAAUGUCCCUGAGCUGCUUGAUAUUAUGAGAGUUGCUGGCGCGUGUAAAAGAAAUGAUACCUUUCAUUUGGCAUCGGAGGAUGAGAAAGGGCUUAACUGAUUGUCUGAUUUGUGACGACGAAGGUAUAUUAUUCCCCUAAUUUGAGAUUUUGGAAAUUUUACGCAAAGAACUUAUCUAAAGGUGUAUUGAGGUGUGGGAUAUUUCUUUUAUGACAAGCUUGAUUUGCAUUGAUUAUAAAUCAAAUUUGUUCUGUCUUACUGAUUGUUAGCUUAAAUUAUUUCCUGAUUUUCUUUGGCGUAGUAUUGUUGGUUUGUAUGUAAACUGCAUGUUCUAAAAAUUCUACCUAACAGUCCAACUGAUAUGACCUUUGGAUCUAUCGAAGGGACUUUUGGCUUUAGUCCAAAUUAAUUCCAAUUCCAGAUUGGUUUUUGUUUGGGUAAGUCUUGAAGAGUCAUAUUUCAGAUCAAGUUAUGCAGUAAGUAUAUAGAAAAUAUCACCAAAGAUCACAAGAAAUUGUUGAGUGGUAGUUGCUCUAAUGAUUUAAGUGGCUGAAAAACACUUAAACGCCAAAGAGUUGUUUCUGUAAUUUGUUUUUAAAUGAGUCAUCAACCAAUAUAUGGAUUUGGAUAUAUCUAAGAAGGUGUUAUCUCUUGUCAGUGGAGGCUUCUUUGCAAACUUAUCUAUUUAUGUACUAAUUGGAAUAUUGAAAUUUGAUUGAUGCAUUGUAAUAUUAGUAUGCAGUGGCUUCAAUGGAAUUUGAAAGACCAGUUGCACUGGAUUGAUCAGGAGUCACCAGCUCUUCUGAAAUGUCUUCAACCUCCUUUGGAAUUGCUAAAGCUUUUCUCGCAUCAACAAACUCUUGCAGCUCUUCUGCUCGUCCACUCUUUGUGAUUCCAGGUGCAGAUCUCUUCAUUCUUGGAGUUCAUUCUUGGAUUCGGUGGAUGCAACUUCUCAUCCACCCUUUGUUAUCAUAUCAUGGCUGAAGCUUCUGCUCUACCCGAAAGCCUUCGGAAGGCUAAGAGAAUUGUGAUGAUUCGCUGGUUCCUUAAGAAUAUUUUGGAUGACAUCUUAUCUCUCUGUUCAAGUCUUUAUGUUGUCGAUGUGGUCUAUGUUUCCCGGCGUCAUGAAUGACGUGGCUCGUCCGCUAGUCAAUUUUGGGGGAACUGUAAAUUCUUUCCGUUUUUUUUUCCUCUUCUAAUGAUGGAUAAGUGUUGCUUAAUCCACUUUUAACCUUUAAUGAAAUUUCUCCUUUUUUCAUUAAAAGAAAAAAAACUCUUAGCAUGCAUGCUCAAAAGGUUUUAAAGUGACAAUUAAAUGUGUAUUUCCAGAUUCUGUAAUUACCUUUAGCUCUUGUUGUAGAGUUUAUGUAUAUUUACAUCACUAGUAUUUCACACUUUCUUGACCCAUUCUCUGCUAGUUUUCUUUUCUGCCUAACCAUUCCAUUGUGCAACCAAUAAAUUAUUUUGGAUCCAAUUAAUGAAUAAUUAUAUAUUUUAAUGUGUAAAUAAUAAUAAUAAAAAUCACUUUUUAAAGAAAUCAGGUAUUUGUUAUAAAGAGACAAAAUUAUAUAAAUAUUUUGUAGACCAUAAUUUUUAUCUAAAUAAUUUAUUACUAUAAUUUUUAUUUCUCAUGCAUAACGAAUGACUAAUAAUUUGAGUAACUCCAAACUCAGAAAAAUUCUAUGAAACAAUAUUUUCUGAUAAAAAAUUCACUACUAUAUCUAUGAAAGGUUCAUUUCAUACGAUUGUUGUAAUUAUAUAGCAUACUCUAUUGUCAGACUGCUUUGAGGUGUGGAGAGUGAUAUAUACUCUUACAAUCUCACAAUUUGCUUGCAUAGAAAUUUUUACUUGACAAACCACUCACAUGAGAAUUCUAAAUAGAGAUUUGGGGUAUAUCAGAGUCACAUUCGAUCAUUCUUGGAUUGAGAGUCACAUUAUUGCAUAGAGUCAUAUUGGGUUAUAAAAGAAAACUGACAGUGAAUAAGGAGAAGUGCAAGGACUCAGUGUUGCUACGUUGCUCUCAAACUGAGAAACCAUCGAUACGGCAAUAAUAUGGUUAAUUUUAAAAGUCAAGAAACAAGAUAAACAUAAACUUAAUAACAAUGAGAAUUGCAAGGAUAAAGUCUAUCACAUCCCAAAUUUAAAGAAAAAUAUUAUUUGUUUAUUUAUAAUUUAUAUAAGAUUUUUUUGUUAAUCUUUAUACUUUGAUCGUUAUCUUUACAAUACUAAAUAUUUUUUAACUAAAAAAAUCAUAUCUUUUUAGUAAGGUGAAAGGUGAUAAGGAAAUCUCUUCCAUCCAAACUGAGAUGUAUUAAGAAGUAGUAUGUUAUACUAUAAAUAAAUAUAAGUUAAAAAAAUAUCACCAAUUAUGGUCGAUUUUUAAAAAAUCAUAAAUAUAAUUUUUAAUAUUUAUGAAACACAUACAAAUAUUAAUGAUUUAAUAUAAAAUGAUAGUAUAUCUAUCUAUUAUUAAACUUAUGUAUUAGAAAAAUAAUGAUAAUUUCUAUAUAGUAAAUAAAAUCAUGCAUCAUUCACAUAUAAUACAUAUAUAAUAGUCAGAUAAUAAAAGCUUAGAUUAUACCCGAUGAUGUACUCUCCCAACAAUGAAUGGAGGGACAUAUUCCACGAGAUCGAUUUCUCUCAAUAACGGAUGGAGAGAACUUAUAUAAAUCUUCAUACAACGGAUGAAGUAGUAUCCAUCAUCUACCUAAGUGAAGACAUAUUUCUUCUAACAAUGGAUGGGAGAACCGUCUAAUUGUCAAGUUUGAUGGUCUGUUAAUCCUUGAAGGAAUCGCUUUACUUGUUCUCGGUAAAGAUAUAUAGUUAAACUCAAUCAUCCAUUUAUGCAAUACAUUCAAAAAAUAAUAUGAUAAAAUAUUAUUAAGAUUCAUGAUUGAUGUAUGACUUAUCAUACUAUAUCCAUUAUCGACUGCAUUGUAAUAAAUCGAUAGCUUUUUUCAUAGGUCGUACUUCCAAUGUAGACCACUCUACAUAGUUAUAUAUACAAUAUGAUAGCAAUCACAUUAAUAUCAUCAAUUUAAUUAAAAACUAAUAAUUAUUUCCAAAUGACAUAUUUAGAUAAAAUUUUUAAGUUAAUUAAAUCAAUAUCUUAAUAGUCUUCGUUAACAAGAACCCUAAUUAGCACUUACAAAAAAAAAAAGAACCAUAAUUAGCAUAACCCAAUUGACUUCAAGCAAACUUAAUUCAACUAGAAUCUAAUCGAACCAACCUCCAAAUUCUCUAAAAGUGAUUUUUAAUUACUAGUCUAAUUUAGAUUUGAUUGAUUUCAAUUAGGUCAAAUAAAUUUUUCUAAUAGUAGAUAAAGAUAAACCCUAUUUGAUGGUUUACUAUCCCCGAAGAAUAUCACUCUAUCUAUUAUCGAUGGAAAAAUAAAAUCAUCUGGUCAUAUGCAUAUCGAGAUGAAAUAAUACAAUGAAACAUCUUAAUUUAUCUUUUUAACAUCAUUAAUGUCAAAUAAUAUCAAUUAGCUCUCAAAGCUAUGAUUUAAUCGGAUCGAUUUAACUAUAACAUAACUAAAUCGAUCNNNNNNNNNNNNNNNNNNNNUUGGUUAGACUCAACUAAUCAGUUGAGCCUAACCUACUAGUUAUGGCUUAGUUUGUGGGUUGUGCAUGACUUGUUGAUUAAUUUCAACUAAAAUUAUCGUAAAUUUCUUUAAUUUUAAAUUAUAACAUUAUGAAAUUAUAAUCAUUAACAUUAUUCAUUAAAAUAUAAUAAAUAAUAAAAAAUAAAAAGUUAAAAUUGUAUAAGAGAGGAAAUAAUAUUUUCAGUCAACUAUUAUAUAAAUUUAAUAUUAAACUAUUAUAACUAGCAUUCAAGAUAAAAUAAAAAUAAAAAUUAUAAUAGCAUGAAUAACUAUAAUCUAUUAUAAUUAAAAACAAAAUUUUAAAUACUUAAAGGAAUAAAAAAAUUUAAAACUAUAUAUAGCAUGUAUAAUUAUAAUAUAAUUUUAAUCUAACAAUAAAAUUUUAAAUAUUUAAAGAUAAAAAAGAAAAUGUUUAUAUUUAAAAAAAUAUAAGAGAACAAAAAAAAUAUAUAACUUUUUGUUUCUUGAAAAAUGAAGAAGAGGAAUCCUCCCCUUGAAUAAAAAGAGAUGAGCCCUUUAAGGUAAUUAUAUUUCUAUAUUUUUAUUUAAUUUAUUGAUAAAAUAAUAUCAUUUAAUCUAAAAUAUUAAAUAUUUACUUUAUAAAAUUUUAUUCACAAGAAAAUUUAAAAAAUUAUAUUUUGUAGAUCAAUUUAACUAUAUUUUUUAUAUAAAUAAUUUAUUCCUAUAAUUUUGUAUUUCUUGUGCAUAACGAAGGUUAUACUCACUACAUAUAUGGAGGGUUGGAAGAAUUAGGGUGCCUCUACGUUUGCUCUCCUUUGUCCCACAAUGGCGGCUGCGACGUUCCGCUCCGCACUCCGCCGCAAUAGCCUUCUGCCCUUGUUCGAAACCUGCCGCCUUCGAGAUAUCCUCUUCUCCUCCUCCUCUGUCAACGCUGCCGCCGCCGUAGGCGGCACCAUAUCUCCAGAUCCCCACUUCAUGGUCGAAUACCUCGUCAACUCCUGCGGGUUCUCCUCCUCCGAGGCAGCCAAGUUCUCUAAACCCCUUGCGCACCUCCGAGCAACCGAGAAACCCGACGCCGUCCUUAACUUCAUGAGAUCUCAGGGCUUCGAUGGCGCCGGUAUCAGGAAGGUGAUAUCUUCGAGACCCAAUUACCUUUGCUGCAACGUGGAGAAGAACCUCGCCCCGAAGUUUCAGUUCUUACGCGAUUUGGGCCUAUCGGAGUCUGACAUCGUCGAUGUCAUCCGGAAUAACGAUGACAUCCUCCGCCGCAACGUUCACCGUUCCUUGGCCCCCAAAUUGGAGAUAUGGGAAAGUCUCUUGGGAUCGAGAGAGCUCGUUCUCAAGCAUCUCAAGAAGACAAGAUGGUUUUUCUGCUCCAGCGUUGAGAAGACGUUGCAUCCUAACCUAAAGUUCUUGAGGGAUGAGUGCGGCAUUCCUGAAGAAAGGGUCUCUCUCGUCUUGAGAAGUCACCCAAAAUUAAUAUCACAGAAACCAGAGUCACUCCGAGCUUUGGUGGCGAGAGCCGAUGAGCUGGGGAUGCCACGGCAAUCUCGGAUGUUCAUGUGGACACUUGAUGUUUUCCACAAGGUAAGCAAAGAAGCGUUCGAGGCCAAGGCCGAGCUCAUGAGGAGCUUCGGGUGGUCGGAGUCGGAGUUUUCUUCUGCAGUCAGGAAAGCACCCACCUUCUUAUGCAUGUCCCUCGAUAUGUUGCGCAGAAAAAUGGAAUUUUUUAUCAAUAUAGUCGGGUACACCCCUUCCUUCAUCGCAUCCCAACCAACUAUCUUGCUAUAUGGUCUGCAGAAGAGGGUAAUUCCUCGGUUUCGUGUUUUGGAGAUGUUGAAUACGAAAGGCUUGUGGACUCGACGAGGCAAUUUUUCCCACUAUGUGCAAUUAUCAAAUACAAAAUUCCGGGAGAAGAUUGUUCUACCUUACAAAGAAAAGGUUCCUGAGCUUCUUGAUAUUUUGAGAGCAGGUGAGUGUGAAGGGAAAUGAGCCCUUUUAUUUGGUAUCAGAGGAGGAUGAGAAGGGCUUAGCUGAUGGUCUAACUCACAUUUGAAUUUCUCAACAGGAGCUGAGCAGUGAUUCGGCACCUUUUUCCUUGACAACGAGCUGUCUUACAUCAACCACCAGCCUUGGCUACUAAAGUGCAGUCCAGUGAAAGAAUUAUUCCUUGGUGUCUUAUGGUAGUAAUGUUGUAAUUGGAAGGUCUAUCCAGUGCCCAACACAAAAUGUUUUCCAGUUUUACUCAUAUUAAGGUUCAUGGAAAAGUCUGUUCUUUGUUGCAAAGCAGAAGUCCCUGGCCUGUUUGAAAUCUCUGAUCGAUGAAGGUGGAUUAUUCCCCUAGUUUGAGAUUUUGGAAAUAGAAUGCAAAUGGCUUCUCUAAUUUUGGAAAUAGAAUGCAAAUGGCUUCUCUAAAAGUCUAUUGAGGUGUGAGAUUCUUCUUAUGUGACAAGCUAGAUUGGCAUUGAUUAUAAACCAACUUUGUUUUGUCUUAUUAAAUGUUUGCUCGAAGCAUUUUCUGAUUGUGUUUGGCACACUAUUGUCGGAUUGUAUGUGAACUGCAGGUUUUAGAAUUUCUAUGCAAACUAGUUCUUGUGCUAAUUGGAAGAUUCCAUUUAUGUUUCUGUUAUGUAGAAUUUUUAAGACCGGUUGCUGUGUUGAUCAGGAUUACCAUUGCUUUGGUACUCACCCAUUUCUUUUGUAUGUAAGAAGUUGUCACUUUACUUGCAGGUUGAAUGGACUUCAGAGAUUCAAUACUUGAGUAUGCUAUCCUGAAAUGUCUUCAGCCUCAUUGGAAUUGUUGCUCUGGCAUUUCCUGCAUCAACAAACUCUUAACAUGCAAACUAAUUUUAUUAUAAGCCAAAACAUUUUAAAAUGGACGGCAAAAUGUGUAUUUCAAAUUCCCGUAAUUGUCUUUAGGUUUUCUUGUAGAGUUAAUGAUCAUUACAUCACAAGGUUUUAUGUCCUGCAUUUAGUGCAGAAAUGAUUACUUAGGAUUGUGCACAGUAUCCGGACCCAUUCUCGGCUACUUUUGUUUCUGCCUCUCCAUGCGAUUGCGCAUAUUUUUAAUAUCACAGUCCAGGUAAAAUCAUAAGAAUAUCGAUCAUCUUUGUCAAUAUGUAAAACGAUUUCUGAAUCUUGAUAUCUGCUGUUCCAUAUUUUGCAGCGAAUUUUGUGUAGCUGUGCAUGAGUUGUGGAACUGACACAACUUUCAAGUGCAUCAAGAAUACUGGAUGGUAUGCAAAAACUGCUUUUCUAAUUACUUUAUUUAUCCUUCCAUGCUUGUUAGUAGUGCUACAGAGUUUGCUAUGAAUCUUGUUUCUUGCAAGCAGAUCAUUGGAAGUGAGUGUUGGAUUCUUGUUCGUAGUAUUUGUUUUAUUUUUGGUGUUAGUUUAUUUAAUCUGUUGUGAGGUCAGUAUGACAAAGUUUCAAAAUCAUUUGCUUUUUAUCUCAAUUGACUGGGCAUAUCGAGACUCAUAAUGGGCCUAAAUUGGGCUUUCUCAUUGAUUAGGCUUAUCAAUAUUUCUCAACCAAUGUGGGACUAAAUGGUUUGUUCCCUCUUGUAGGGGAGCUAAGGGCUAAUAAUCGAGGUGUACGACUCGAGAGCUAGUAUGCUCGGUUGAGGUGUAGGCAUCGGCCCCUCCUUCUAACGUCAAUCUGAUCGAGAUCUUUUACACCGUGGCUGAGGGGUCGGCAUGGUUCGAUCUAGUCUUAGGUGCAUAAGAUCACCUGCGUCGGUACUUCGGCAGCGGAAGCCAUUGUCUAGUGGGGGUCGAGCUCGAACCUCGCUUCUGGGUUGUGGGGGUUCCCCUUUGAUGGUUCGCCUUCCUCCCUAUUACAUGUUCCCGCACACAGGUUGGGACGGGGAUUUCUCGAUUUGACCCAUCCGAAGAUUUUAUUAGAAUUGAGUGGAGAAUGGGUAAGCAAUCCUUUCUCAUCGUCGGAUAAUGGGUUUUUAUCCUUGCGCAUGGGGGCCAGUCGUACCUAACACAACACAUUUAUGGUUGUCGACCCAUCAAGUGGCGGGCUUACUCAAGCAGAUAUUUGGCAUCCUUAGUGCCACGGUGUUGAAUAGUGGCGUCAUAUACGGUUGGUGCCAUCUCGACCUUUGCGAGGCGAUGUUGUGCUCGGUCGGUAUCGUCCCAAUCUUUGUGGAGCAGCGUCGUACCCGGUUGGUGUCGUCCCGACCUUUGCGGGGUGGCGUUGUACUCGGUCGACGCCGUCUCAAUCUAAAGGACAAAACUGUGCAGGUACGCUCAUCGCCCAAAGCAGAUAAUUUCUCGUGAGUCUACGGGUUACACCAAUGAUCGACCGACCAAAUUAUCCCUUAUCAGUAUAUAUAGGAUCGUAAGAUUAUCAAUCAUCCUUAUAAAUGCGUGAUAUGCCUUUUAUAUUUUGAUAUUAGUUGUUCCAUCUUUGCUGUGCAGGAGUUGUAGAACUUGCAAGUCCAUCGAGAAUAUUAGGAAGAUACUCUUUUUUUCUUUAUGACUAAAUAAUAACGUCCCAAAUCUUUAUGUCAAUACACGUAUGUCUCAAUUUUGGGAAGAUAGACAUUAAUGAAAUGAAUAUAUGGAAGGAAGUGAGAAAAAUAUAAUUCAUGAAUUUAAAUAAGACAAGUAAUCCAAGCAAAAUCGGGCACUUAUGUCAUGUUAAUGAACCAAUGCAAUGUGAACAUCAAACAUAAAGGAUAGGAUACGCUCACGAAGUUGGCAUGUAUAGAUUGAUGUCUCCAGAUUGAAAUGAGACAUGCUAAAAUUAAUAGGUGUUGUGGUACGUACGUGUAUNNNNNNNNNNNNNNNNNNNNUAUAUAUAUAUAUAUAUAUAUAUAUAUAUAUAUAUAUAUAUAUAUAUAUAUAUAUAUAUAUAAGAAAUAAUAAAAUUUAAUUAAAAUAUUAUUUAAUUCAUGAUCAACAUCUCUGCAUCGAUCAGUGGACAAUCUCUCCUCUUUUUGCAUGAGGAUCACCGACAAUAGUCGAUGGGCGAGGUAACUAAGGUUUGAAUAGCGGGGGAUAAUUGAUGAGGUAAAAAUAUGAUGAAAAGUAUGUAAAAGUAAGAAACGAUGACCGAAAUUAAAUGAAUAUUAAAAAAAUAUUUUAUUUUUUUAAAUUUAGGCAAUUUCAUAAGAAAAUUUCAAUGUUUAUUUAAAAAAAAUAGAAUUCGUCCGAUGAUCAAAUCACUUUUCUCGUGAAAAGAGUGUUUUCUUAUGGAGAGAUAAAAUUAUAUAAAUAUUUUGUCGAUCACUUUAUCCAUAUUUGUGAUAUAAAUAAAUUAUUCCUGCAGUUUUGUAUUUCUUGUGCAUAGCGAAGCUUAUACACACUAUAUAUAGGAAUUAGGGUACCCAUCUCAGAUUUCUUUCGUCUCCCACAAUGGCGGCUGCGACGCUCCGCUCCGUGCUCCGCCGCAAUCGCCUCCUGCCCUUGUUCGAAACCUGCCACCUUCGAGAUCGCCUCUUCUUCUCCUCCUCUGUCGACGCUGCCGCCGUCACCGCAGGCGGCACCAUGUCUCCAGAUCCCCACUUCAUGGUGGAAUACCUCGUCAACUCCUGUGGGUUCUCCCCCUCCGAAGCAGUCAAGUUCUCUAUACCCCUUGCGCUCCUCCGAUCCACCGAGAAACCCGACGCCGUCCUUAAUUUCAUGAGAUCUCAGGGCUUCGAUGGCGCCGCUAUCAGGAAGAUUAUAUCUUUGAAACCCACUUACCUAUGCUACAACGUGGAGACGAACCUCGCCCCGAAGUUUCAGUUCUUACGCGAUUUGGGCCUAUCGGAGUUGGACAUCGUCGAUGUCAUCCUGAAGAACAAUGGCAUCCUCCACUACAACGUUCACCGUUCCUUCGUCCCCAAAUUGGAGAUGUGGGAAAGUCUCUUGGGAUCGAGAGAGCUCGUUCUCAAGCAUCUCAAGAAGACAGGAUGGCUUUUCUUCUCCAGCGUUGAGAAGACAUUGCAUCCUAACCUAAAGUUCUUGAGGGAUGAGUGCGGCAUUCCUGAAGAAAGGCUCUCUGUCGUCUUGAGAAGUCGCCCACAAUUAAUCACAAAUAAACCAAAGUCACUCCGAGCUUUGGUGGCGAGAGCCGAUGAGCUGGGGAUGCCACGGCAAUCUCGGAUGUUCGUGUGGACACUUGAUGUUCUCCAAAUGCUAAGGAAAGAAAGGUUCGAGGCCAAGUUCGAGCUCAUGAGGAGCUUCGGGUGGUCGGAGUCGGAGUUUUCUUCUGCAGUCAGGAAAGCACCCACCUUCUUACGCAUGUCCCUCGACAUGAUGCGCAGAAAAAUGGAAUUUUUUAUCAAUGCAGUCGGGUACACCCCUUCCCUCAUCGCCUCCCAACCAACUAUCUUGCUAUAUAGUCUGCAGAAGAGGGUCAUUCCUCGGUUUCAUGUGACGGAGAUGUUGAAAUCGAAAGGAUUGUGGACUGGACAAUGCAAGUUUGCAUGGAUUCUCAUAAUGUCAGAAACCAAAUUCAUGGAGAAGUUUGUUCUCCCUCACAAAGAAAAUGUCCCUGAGCUGCUUGAUAUUAUGAGAGUUGCUGGCGCGUGUAAAAGAAAUGAUACCCUUCAUUUGGCAUCGGAGGAUGAGAAAGGGCUUAACUGAUUGUCUGAUUUGUGACGACGAAGGUAGAUUAUUCCCCUAAUUUGAGAUUUUGGAAAUUUUAUGCAAAGAACUUAUCUAAAGGUGUAUUGGAGGUGUGGGAUAUUUCUUUUAUGACAAGCUAGAUUAGCAUUGAUUAUAAAUCAAAUUUGUUCUGUCUUACUAAUUGUUAGCUUAACUUAUUUUCCGAUUGUCUUUGGCACAGUAUUGUUGGUUUGUAUGUAAACUGCAUGUUUUAAAAAUUGUACAUAACAGUCCAACUGAGAUGACCUUUGGAUCUAUCGUAGGGAAAUUUGGCUUUUGUCCAAAUUAAUUUCAAUUCCGGAUGGGAUUUUGGUUUGUUGGGUAAGUCUCAAAGAGUCCUAUUUUAGAUCAACUUAUGCAGUAAGUAUAUACAAAAUAUCACCAAAAAUCACAGGAAGUUGCUGAGUAGUAGUUGCUCUAACGAUUUAAGUGGCUGAAAAACACUUAAAACUUCUUUGCAAACUUAUUUAUUUAUGUACUAAUUGGAUUAUUCAAAUUUCAUUGAUGCAUUGUAAUAUUAGUAUGCAGCGGAGAUUGUGCUGAUGGGGCAAAGGCCCAGGAUCCAGACAAUAGUACAUCAUUUUCAACGAAGUCGGUGGACUUCGAGAGCUAUUAGGCGACGGACUAUCCUAGAGCGGUGCUUCAUUUGGGUGUGAUAAAAAAACACGUGGACGAAGGUUGAUUGUCAAAGAAGCGAACAUAAUCGAAGGUGGAAAAAACCUUACGAUGUGUUGGCAGAGGCCACACAAGAAGGGAUCACAAUCUGAGUUCAUCCCACAAUGAUCAGAAUGCAAUGGAGAUACCAUCAAGAGACGAUAUGGUGCAGCAGAUCGUGGUGGAACAAUUCGUGGCAAUAUACACAAAACUAGUCCCGCGAGGGACUAGAUCAUACAUAGAUAUGAUCGGGAGCUAUUGGGAGCUCAACUUCGGUAAACAACACGAUGACAAGACAUCCUUGGUGUCUCAAGUUUAAGGACCAAAUACACUAUUAGGACAAUGGAAUCACUAUUUAAUAAUGAGAUAUAAUCAAUAAUCCAACGUUUCGUGAGUGGAUCAAUUAGUGAACUCAUUAUUUAAUGAGCACUUGCGUUGUAUCCCUAGUGUCCCCACACGAGCAACUAUGAGACAUGUCGCCUCCAUUAUAUAGAUGGAUAUACAACAUCCAGUCUAUCUGGUCAUCUCGAUGUCCCUCUCGAGUAACCUAUGAUUGAGAUUAAUUAAGGUUUAUAUUUAAAAAUAAAUUUAUCUCAUUAUCAUGAUCUUAUUACGAUCCGAUUUCUAUUGUAUAAAUCUAUAAAUAUCACAAUACAUAUAACAAAUAAUAGAAAGUGAAAAAAAUAUCAAAUAAAUAAUAAAUAAAAAAAGUGUGUAUUAUGUCACUCAUCAAUCACACACAUAAUUGACUUGUAGGGUACUUAUGACUAGCUCGAAUGAGCACUCUCCCAAUAAUGAACGAAGAUGUUUUAUUCUAUAGGAUGAUUUUAUGUUCUUCGAAUAGGGAGAAAUUCAUAUUGUACUCGCAACAAUGGAUGGAGUGAUAUUCCUCACAUGUCAAAGUAGGGAUACAUUCCUCCUAAUAACGGAUGGAGGAAUCAUCACAUCUGACAACCUACUAAUUCAUGAAAGAAAUCACUCUAUCUGCCCUCUUUAAGGAAACAAAAUCAUCUUAUAUUGAUCAUUUUCAUAUCGAGAUAAAAUAACAUAUUAAAACAUCUUAAUUUAUCUUUUAAAUAUUAUUAUUAUCAAAUAAUAUCAAUUAGUCUUUAAUUGACUUAAAUCAUUGUUUAAUCGAUCUAAUCGAAUUAGAUUUAACUAUAACAUAAUUGAAUUAAUUUUUAAUUCUUAUUUAAUCGAUCUAAAACUAUCUUACACUGAUAUAAUUUAGAUUAGAUUAAAUUUAAUUUAUGUUAAAUAGAUUUAAAUAAAUCAAAUCGAUUCAGAAUCAUCUUCAAUCGAUUUAAAUAUAUCAAAUUAGAUUUGACUCAAUCAAACAUAAAUAAAAUAAACUAAAUGUAAUAAGUUAAACUGUAUAGUAAUAAGAUAGAUUAAGCUAACCAAUGUAUGCAUGACUAUGCAUGUACCAUAUCAAAUUAUGUUAGCUCAUAGUCCAUGGAUUACUCAUGUGCAUGACACAUGACUGCCCAUGUUGGACCGAAUUGAACUACUAGCUAGGCUUAGCCUUUUGGCUGAGUCUAAUCUACGUGUUGUGGUUUAGCUUAUGGGCAGAGCCUAAUUUGCUAAGCAGAUUUCAACUAAAUCUUAAUUAAUUUUUUAAUUUUAAAUUAUAGCAUCAUGAAAUUAUAAUCAAAACACUUAACUAUUACCAAUGAGUCAUUAAAACAUAAUAAAUAGUAAUAGAUUAAAAAUAUAAAAUUACGUUGAAGGGAAAAUAAUUUUUUUACUCAACUAUUAUACAAAUUUAAUAGAAAUUAAAUAUUACAACUAGUAUGAUGCAUGCAAAAUACAAAUUUUAAAAAAUAUUAUAGUAUGAAUAAUUAUAAUAUAUUAUAAUCCAAAAAUAAAAUUUUAAAUAUUUGGAGGAAAUAUAAUAAAAUUCUAGAAACUAUAUAUAGCAUGAAUAAUUAUAAAAUAUUUUAAUCAAAAAAUAAAAUUUUAAGUACUUGAAUGAAUAGAGAAAAUAUUAGAAACUAUAUAUAGUAUGAAUAAUUAUAAUAUAUUUAAUCGAAAAAUAAAAUUUUAAACACUUAGAGAUAAAAGAAAAUAUUAAUUUUUUUAAAAAAUAUAGAAGCGAAAGGAAUCGUCUUAUUAAAUAAAAAGAGUUAGCCCUUCAAGGUAAUAAAAUUUUUAAUUUUUAUAUUAUAUAUAUAUAUAUAUAAUUAAUAAAAAUAGUAUCACUAACUUAACAUUUUGAAUAUUUAUUUUAUAAAUUUUAUUCAUAAGAAAAGAAAGUGAAUAAUUAUACUUAAAGAUUUGAGUAAAGAUGAAACAGCCAAAUUAGUAUUUUAAGAUCAUUUUAUCCAUAUUUUUUAUAUAAAUAAUUUAUUCCUAUAAUUUGGUAUUUCUUGUGCAUAGCGAAGGUUGUACACACUACGUAUAAGGAGGGUUAUUGUAAUUAGGGUGCUGCUACGGUUGCUCUCGUCCCACAAUGGCUGCUGCAACGCUCCGCUCCAUACUCCGUCGUAAUAGCAUUCUACCCUUGUUCGAAACUUGUCGCCUUCGAGAUCUCCUCUUCUUCUCCUCCUCUGUCUAUGCUGCCGUCGCCGUAUGCGGCACCACAUCUCCUAGUCCCCACUUCAUGAUGGAAUACCUCGUGAACUCCUGCGGAUUCUCCCCCUUCGAGGCAGCCAAGUUCUCUAAACCCAUUGCUUACCUCCGAUCCACCGAUAAACCCGACAUCGUCCUUAACUUCAUGAGAUCUCAGGGCUUCAAUGGUGCCGGUAUCAGGAAGGUGAUAUCUUGGAAUGCUAGUUACCUAUGCAUGAAUGUGGAGAAGAACUUGGCCCCGAAGUUUCAGUUCUUACUCGAUUUGGUCCUAUCAGAGUCGAAUAUCGUCGAUGUCAUCUUAAAGAACCAUGUCAUCCUCCUCCUCAACGUUCACCAUUCCUUCGUUGCCAAAUUGGAGAUGUGGGAAAGUCUCUUGGGAUCGAGAGAGCUCGUUCUCAAGCAUCUCAAGAAGACAGGAUGGUUUUUCUUCUUCAGCUUUGAGAAGACAUUGCAUCCUAACCUAAAGUUCUUGAGGGAUAAGUGCGGCAUUCUUGAAAAAAGGGCCUCUCUUGUCUUUAGAAGUCACCCACAAUUAAUCUCACAGAAACCAGAGUCACUACGAGCUUUGGUGGCGAGAGCCGAUGAGCUGGGGAUGCCACGGCUAUCUCGGAUGUUUGUGCGGACACUUGAUGUUCUCCAAAUGGUAAGUAAAGAAAUGUUCGAGGCCAAGGUCAACCUCAUGAGGAGCUUCGGGUGGCCGGAGUCGGAGUUUUCUUUUGCAGUCAGGAAAGUACCCGUCUUCUUAGGCAUGUCCCUCGAUAUGAUGCGUAGAAAAAUGGUAUUUUUCUAUCCAAAACCAAGCAUCGGUUAAAAUGAAGGUAAACUUGGAGGAGUGCCACAGAGGCAUAUCUACCGAUCGCAAAAAAAGGCACGAAGAUGUGAGGUGAUGGAUAGUAGGGUCAUGGGCAUGGUAGCACCAUGGUACCGCAAAGGCGGGACUUCCAUGAAGUCAUCGAUCCCUUGCUCUUCUAGAGGGAGAGCGCUUGGUCGUGAAAGGGGUCGGGAAGGUGGAGAAUGCAGAGGCAAACAAUAAGUACCGAGACAAAGUUGAAGGGCAAAGAUCAGGAAACUUCGUAAGACCGAUGUUAAUAAUCUUUCUCAUUAAGAUAGUCGAAAGUAAAGAACUUCGGGUUGAUGCAAGAGUGUUCAACCGAGGAAUAAAGUAGACAGUACGUGGUGCUAUACCUUUGCAACUCAGUAGGAGUAGGCAACAAAGAUGAUGGAGAAGACGGAUACAAUCCUAGUGACGACCAAAACUAUUAGGGAUAUGCUCCAAGUUGGGGUGAAAACUUCUUGCAUUCAAGAAGUUCAAUAGUAUUGAGAAGGUGAAUCACAGUAGCUAACUCAAUGCAAGGAGUGCAAACACUUCGAGUGCUUCAGAAGUGUGAGCAAAGAGUAUGUGAAAGUUAGUAAUCAGCUCGAUGCAUGGAGUACAACCCUCGAGGAGGCAGGCGAAGUCAAGUAACCUUUGCCUUCUUAACUCUUAAGAGAAUGGGCGAAACUGAGUAUCUCAAUUCUCUUAUCUAUCCAACAGAGAAGCUCUACACAAGUUCAAAGACCCUUCGAAGAAACCGAAUGGAAGACAAUAGUUAUCAAAUCCUCACCAAUGGUGAUCAGUGCUACUAAGAGUAGAUUAUCCGCUUCAUUUUCUAACAGAAUGCCAAUUGAAAGCGGAAGUGGUGUGAACCUACUUGGAAGUGACGACGAAGUGGAAGAAGAAUCGAUAGACAAAUUUUAUAAAGGAAGGACCCAAAAAUUUUAAAGUCUGCGAGGCGAUGCUCGCUAAAGCUCCAACAAGCAUCCACCUAGUUCAAGCAGCAUGAAGCAUUUGAGAGACUAGAAAAUACUAAGGAUGAUAUUUUCCUUCAUCUGAGGGAUCCACGGGAAACAACAAGGAUCAGCACAACUUAGUCGACCCCACACCAGAGUCAGAGUUAUUAGCGAGUUGAAACAGCAUGGCGGAUCAAAGUUCGACUACUCAACAACAACGACGGAGUGCAGUUGGGAGCCAUGAGGCGCAUUGCAAUUGGAGCACAAGAUUGAAGACUCAACAAAGGCGAGGAG